GCUCUGUGUAGCUCGGUGGUGGAGCGCUUGCCUAGCGUGCACAAGGCCCUGGGUUCCAUCCCCAGCACUGCA
rnacentral:tRNA from 1 species